rnacentral:rRNA from 1 species
CUCGCCCUUAGAGUUUGAUCCUGGCUCAGGACGAACGCUGGCGGCGUGCCUAACACAUGCAAGUCGAACGGAACUGUUUUGAAAGAUUUCUUCGGAAUGAAUUUGAUUUAGUUUAGUGGCGGACGGGUGAGUAACGCGUGAGUAACCUGCCUUCAAGAGGGGGAUAACAUUCUGAAAAGAAUGCUAAUACCGCAUGACAUAUCGGAAUCACAUGAUUUUGAUAUCAAAGAUUUUAUCGCUUGAAGAUGGACUCGCGUCCGAUUAGUUAGUUGGUGAGGUAACGGCUCACCAAGACCGCGAUCGGUAGCCGGACUGAGAGGUUGAACGGCCACAUUGGGACUGAGACACGGCCCAGACUCCUACGGGAGGCAGCAGUGGGGGAUAUUGCGCAAUGGGGGCAACCCUGACGCGGCAACGCCGCGUGAAGGAUGAAGGUUUUCGGAUUGUAAACUUCUUUUAUUAAGGACGAAAAAUGACGGUACUUAAUGAAUAAGCUCCGGCCAACUACGUGCCAGCAGCCGCGGUAAUACGUAGGGAGCAAGCGUUGUCCGGAUUUACUGGGUGUAAAGGGUGCGUAGGCGGCUUUGCAAGUCAGACGUGAAAUCUAUGGGCUCAACCCAUAAACUGCAUUUGAAACUGUAGAGCUUGAGUGAAGUAGAGGCAGGCGGAAUUCCCCGUGUAGCGGUGAAAUGCGUAGAGAUGGGGAGGAACACCAGUGGCGAAGGCGGCCUGCUGGGCUUUAACUGACGCUGAGGCACGAAAGCGUGGGUAGCAAACAGGAUUAGAUACCCUGGUAGUCCACGCUGUAAACGAUGAUUACUAGGUGUGGGGGGUCUGACCCCUUCCGUGCCGGAGUUAACACAAUAAGUAAUCCACCUGGGGAGUACGGCCGCAAGGUUGAAACUCAAAG